UACAGAGGGGGCGAGCGUUGUUCGGAAUUACUGGGCGUAAAGGGCGCGUAGGCGGCCCGCUAAGUCGAACGUGAAAUCCCCAGGCUCAACCUGGGAACUGCGUCCGAUACUGGCAGGCUUGAAUUCGGGAGAGGGAUGUGACAGUAACUUCCGAGGUGUGAGCGGUGAAAUGCGUAGAUAUCUGGAGGAAUACCGGUGGCGAAGGCGGCAUCCUGGACCGACAUUGACGCUGAGGAGCGAAAGCUAGGGGAGCAAACGGG
rnacentral:rRNA from 1 species